GACUCUUUUAUCUUGCAUGAUUAUCUUGGCCUGGUCCUCCGCCUUUAUCUCCGAAUUUGAACCCAAAAUUUGAAAACUCGGAUUCUCCCUCAUCUCUUCGUUUACAUCUCUGAUAAAUUCAAGAUAUACAUUUUCUUUAUCAUCUUCUCUAUUCACUAUUCAUAGGCUUUCUUGCUCUAGGGUUUUAACGAGGUCUGUUUUCUUUGCAGGUAAUUGAAAUCACCAAUAUAUCGAUGGACAAACGUAACAAGAAGUAAAAAGAUUAUGUGGUUCUGUUCCAUUCCCUUCUCCACUCCGAUUUACCUCAUCCCCUUUCUUCUGUUUCAGUUCUUUCUCUUCAAUCCAACUCCUCUCCACUCUCUCUAAACCUAAUUAGUCGCAAUCACACCAACAACACCACACUAUUGCACCAGUCAUGCACUACCACCACUAUGGUCUCUCCCCAUAGAAAAUCCCUAAACAGUCGUUUCCGCCACGGGUAGGACCUACGUCGGUUACAACUCUCUCUCUCUCUCAGUUGGUCUUCUCUUCUUCAGCGAAGAAGAAUAUAUUUUAUUUCGUUUUUGGUCGAUUGUAUGUGUUUAUAUCUAUUUCUUUGGAGAUAUGAUCAUGGAUUAAUGUUCACUUGGUCUUUACAGGUCAUUGUUAUCAGGCUAAUUAUCACUAUUUAAAGGAAGCAUUUUCUGGCUUUAGGAACGUCAUUAGAGGUAACAAUUUGUAAUAGUGUGUGUAAAUGUGUAGCUAUAUGUAUGUGUAUGUGCCUGCAAAUGUGUAUAAUUGUUUAUGUAGGUAUGCAUAUGUGUCUACUCGUGUGUGUAUCUGUGUGUAGAUCAGAUUUGUGUUUCCUUUUUCUUGUCCUCUCUCCAAUCUCUAUUGUAAAAAAUCCUAUUUUGAUUUUAUUUUAAUAUGAUGCAUAUGUCUUCUUCAAGGUUUACAGGUGCAUUUUUCUUAUUCGACAUCAUUCUUAUCUUCACAAUGUGCUUGGUUCUUGGGAAUAAUUCCUACUUCUCCUAUAGUUGUUUGAAGAUAAAGGUGGUUGGCACUGUUAUAAAGCAAGUCCAGUGUGUGGAUUGAGGACCAAAUCUUGCUUCUUAAUAAUGAAAUUUUCCUUAAAAGUUAGUUGGUUUGUAUGGGUGUCCAAAAUCCGUUAUCUGAAGUUUUAGACUUCAUGGCAGUGGCACCUAGUGGUUUUGUUGUGGGAUUUCAGUAGACUUUUUUUUUGCCAAAACCCAAUUUAGUGUAAUAGUUUUUCGUUGUUUAGGGUUACAAGGAAGAGGCAUGGGAGGUGGUUGAGCAUAUGAGUCAUGAAGACAUGCAUCUGCAGGAAGUUAGUGAGAGCCAUGGUGGAAAAGAAGUAAAAACCCUUCUUAUUAUUUUAAUUUAGAUCAUACCCUAAAAACUUUAUGCAAUUUAUAGCAUGAUAUGAUAUUGGAGGCUAAUAUUGAAAAAAAUACAGGUUUCUUAAUUUGUAAUUGAUUUGGGAUUGGUUUUUGUUGGCAGUCACCGUUGGGUUUCCCUCUAUUUACUCAGAAUUUAUUUGAUUUUAGUUGUCACGGGAGGAGCAUGAUCUUUAAUGUGAUUUGUUCAUAAUUUUUAUUUUCUUAUUUUAUUAUUUGAUUAGAGCAUAUAAAAGAUCUGGUAGCAAUGAAGCAAUAUAAAAGUGUCCCAAUACAAAGGUAUGAUGCUUGCUCCUCUCACGUUUCUGUUAUUUUACUGAGAUUCCAUAUGAUAAAUUCACUUCUUUUUGUUGUACGUCUAAAAAUCUAUAGGUGGUCUUCCUGAUUUGUUAUGUAAAAGCUUCGAUUUUGAUUCUUAAAGAAAUGGCAAAUUUAUAACUGAGAUUUUGCCAGUUUCCUAGUGUCAAGACUCAGAGUCACUCUACAUAUCUGCUAAGUGAAAAAAGUUCCUCCCUUGGUGAGAGAAGACCGUUUGAUCCAAUAUUUGACGGUAUUACCACUGGUGUUGCUUUGGUGAAAUCAGUUUUCUGGUGGUUUUAUGGUGUUGCGCCUGUUUACUAAUCAAGACUUCACAACGGGAACUUUACAUACUUAUUGUGCGAAGAUAUUAGGGUUUAUUGAUUUUCUUGGUGAUUUUUGGAUUCAAUACUUUAGUUAUCUUCUUAUUUCAUGUGUUGUUGAUCAGUGAGCAAGCACUUUUGUGCUUAAGUUUGCUAAUAUUCCUUUAUGUUUAUCUGAACCAACUCUUUGUAAUGUUCACUUUUUACUGUCCUAUAAAGAUAAGAAAACAAUCACAUAAUCACA